rnacentral:rRNA from 1 species
UACGUAGGUGGCAAGCGUUGUCCGGAUUUACUGGGCGUAAAGGAUGCGUAGGCGGAUAUUUAAGUGGGAUGUGAAAUACCCGGGCUCAACCUGGGUGCUGCAUUCCAAACUGGAUAUCUGGAGUGCGGGAGAGGAGAGUGGAAUUCCUAGUGUAGCGGUGAAAUGCGUAGAGAUUAGGAAGAACACCAGUGGCGAAGGCGACUCUCUGGACCGUAACUGACGCUGAGGCA